rnacentral:lncRNA from 1 species
CGGGAGGCUGCCGUCCGGGGACACCCAGCGAGCACGCCUCGGGUGGUAAGUGGGGGGCCAGGGGGUGCAGAGCGCUCAGGGCGAGGUGGUGGGGGCCGGAUGCCUUUCAAGUACUUCCAGUUUCAGGUAACGAGAGCACUUGCGGAGGGUAAUCAAGAGGUCAUGUUGGCAGACUCCCGCCGAGGCUCUCUUGGGAACGUUUAGAAGAUGGAAAUACUGUUGUCUUGCUCAGACGGCUAGGAUGUUUCACAGAAGCCGGCUUUUCCUUAUCGAUCUCCUGCUGGGGGCCGGGCUCGCGUUAGCGCUGUCACACCGAUGAACUCAGGCCGUCCUCAUCAAAGCCCGCACAGCAGCCCUCAUUACCCCCGGUGCCCACAUGAGGGAUCGAAGGUGCUCUGGUUAAGUGAGUUGUUUCAGGUCACUUAGCUGGGAAGUGUGGCCUGGGGACCCUGCUUCUCCAUUAGGUGCGGCGGGCACGGCGCGAGAAUGUCUGUCCCAACACCAUUCUCUUAGGGGCUCGUGCACAUCUAUUGGAUUUUGCUUAAAGCUGAAACAUGGCGAAGUAUUUGAAGGUUUAUAAAAGAAAAAAAUUUUAUAUUAUUUUUAUUUAUUAUUUUUUUAAAUGUUUAUUUUUGAGAGAGACAGAGACAGAGAGGCAGAACGUGAGUGGGGGAGGGGCAGAGAAAAAGGGAGACACAGAAUCCAAAGAAGCAGGCUCCGGGCUCCGAGCUGUCAGCACAGAACCCGACGUGGGUCCCGAACUCACGGACCAUGAGAUCGUGACCUGAGCUGAAGUCGGACGCUGAGUCGCCCAGGCGCCCCAAAGAAAAUUUUAAAUAUGGAUAUUAUUAUGGUGUGGCCACGAAAGUCACAACGCAGCUCGGAGGGAUUUUAACUCGGCCUGGCUCCCCCAGAGCCCGCCCAGGUCCUCGGGAGGUCUAGGAAGGGCGUGUGACUGGUGCGUCUGGGGCACCUGACAUCAAACACAACUCCGUUGAAGGGCGCUCCCCUUUUCCCAGCCCCCACGCAUGACGUAACAUUGCUGUUCCUGCCUGUAGCUGGGGGUGGGGGGCGCCCAAGACAGGCUUCUAAAGAUGGGAAGUACCGAGCAGUAGUGAUCCGCCCUUCCGCUUACGCAGUCGGUCGCACCGCGGUCUUGGUUUUUUUGAAUAAACUGUCCAUCGUAGAACAAUUUCAGAUUUAUGGAGAAGUUGCAGAGACAGUACGGAGUUCCCGCGCACCCCCCGGCCAGUUUCCCUGUGGCUAACACUGUGUGUUACUGCAGCACGAUGCCAUUACCAACCAGCCGACAUCGGUCCAUUGUUAACUUGACUCCAGACUGGAUUUGGAUUUCCCUGGUUUCCCCACCGAUGUUCUCUCUCCGUUCCAGCAUCCGAGCUGGGCAACGAACUCUGCAUGGUUGUCUUGUCUGGUCCAUAUCGUUUUUCGAUAACCUGCUCUGCCGGGCGGAGCUUCGGCCGCGGUCCAGUUCGUGGUCCAGAGGGUGACCUAGACGGGGGGGCCAACGCCCGCGUCGUGGUGAAAGGCUCGAAGGACGACGCGGCCUGGACACCGGCAGCUUCCCCUGGGAAGAUUAGCAAAAGCAGGCGUGCAGCGCUUUGGGCUUUGAAAGGAGGGCGCUUGAUGGAAAAGCCAGCUUGAAUAAUAACACCGAGCACUGUAUUUUGAUGGGAUAAUUGUUUUAUAUUUAUAAAGAUUCUUAAUUAUCUCCAGCAAAUGCAUUUAGCUCACUUGGUAAUUGAAUUAAGGAAAAUGUCUUUUCAAGCGUUGUGAGUCGUUGCCAUAAUAAAAAAGAAUAACUUAAAAGCGCUUCCCCACAUGACCUAGACAGGCUCGUUAUUACCGAAGGCUGAGUAAUUCCAUCAAGGACCCAGCCGGCUCUAAUAUAACAGGUAUUCUAGAGAUGCCGAGUUAAAAUGACAAGAGACAAUGGAAAUUUCCUUCCUUUGGGGACCCCUUGAUGAUCCCCCAUUUACAGCCGGUCUUCCCGUCCUGGGCCUGGGGCACACGGCCAUUUUUGUGACGUGUCCCAAUCGCACCGCACGGUGACCGUCUCAGGGUCUGUCCCCUACCCCUUUUCCCACCCACGUGUGUGUCUCGAGAGCUGGGACUGCAUACAGCCCACUUAGGUAGCGCAAAAAAGAAGCCUGUUUGGCACCUCCCGAACCGAGUUCUUCCACGGCUUCGAACGUUUCUUCAGAAAGCACCCUCUCGACGUUUUAUCUUUGGCCGGACACGCUUUUUAGCUUAUGGGGUUG